rnacentral:rRNA from 1 species
UGGGAAUUGGGCAGUGGGAGCGUCUGCCAGUAAUCAUGCAGUCGACGGUGAAGCCCAGCAUUGCUGGGUGGAUCAGUGGCGAACGCCUUUAGUAACACGUGAGCAAUCUGCCCCUGACUCUGGGAUAAGCGCUGGAAACGGCGUCUAAUACUGGAUACGAGCUUCCACCGCAUGGUGAGUUGUUGGAAAGAUUUUUCGGUCAGGGAUGAGCUCGCGGCCUAUCAGCUUGUUGGUGAGGUAAUGGCUCACCAAGGCGUCGACGGGUAGCCGGCCUGAGAGGGUGACCGGCCACACUGGGACUGAGACACGGCCCAGACUCCUACGGGAGGCAGCAGUGGGGAAUAUUGCACAAUGGGCGCAAGCCUGAUGCAGCAACGCCGCGUGAGGGACGACGGCCUUCGGGUUGUAAACCUCUUUUAGCAGGGAAGAAGCGAAAGUGACGGUACCUGCAGAAAAAGCGCCGGCUAACUACGUGCCAGCAGCCGCGGUAAUACGUAGGGCGCAAGCGUUAUCCGGAAUUAUUGGGCGUAAAGAGCUCGUAGGCGGUUUGUCGCGUCUGCUGUGAAAUCCCGAGGCUCAACCUCGGGUCUGCAGUGGGUACGGGCAGACUAGAGUGCGGUAGGGGAGAUUGGAAUUCCUGGUGUAGCGGUGGAAUGCGCAGAUAUCAGGAGGAACACCGAUGGCGAAGGCAGAUCUCUGGGCCGUAACUGACGCUGAGGAGCGAAAGGGUGGGGAGCAAACAGGCUUAGAUACCCUGGUAGUCCACCCCGUAAACGUUGGGAACUAGUUGUGGGGUCCAUUCCACGGAUUCCGUGACGCAGCUAACGCAUUAAGUUCCUCGCCUGGGGAGUACGGCCGCAGGGCUAAAACUCAAAGGAAUUGACGGGGACCCGCACAAGCGGCGGAGCAUGCGGAUUAUUCCAAUGCAACGCGAAGAACUUUACCAAGGCUUUGACAUAUUACGAGAACGGGCCAAAAAUGGUCAACUCUUUGGGACACUCGAAACAGGUGGUGCAUGAUUGGUCUUCAGCUCGUGUCGUGAAAUGUUGGGUUAAAGACCACAACGAACGCAACCCUCUUUCUUGUUGCCAGCACGAUAUGUGUGG